rnacentral:tRNA from 1 species
UCCGGUAUGGUGUAGUGGCUAACAUUUCGCGCUCUCAUAACCUGAGGGAUCGGUUCCGCGGAGCCCAGGGUUCGAUUCCCUGUACCGGAG